rnacentral:rRNA from 1 species
GUUGUCAUGCCAAUGGCACUGCCCGGUAGCUAAAUGCGGAAGAGAUAAGUGCUGAAAGCAUCUAAGCACGAAACUUGCCCCGAGAUGAGUUCUCCCUGAGACUUAGAGUCUCCUGAAGGAACGUUGAAGACGACGACGUUGAUAGGCCGGGUGUGUAAGCGCAGCGAUGCGUUGAGCUAACCGGUACUAAUGAACCGUGAGGCUUAACCUU